GGGUUGUGAGGUUAAGCGACUAAGCGUACACGGUGGAUGCCCUGGCAGUCAGAGGCGAUGAAGGACGUGCUAAUCUGCGAUAAGCGUCGGUAAGGUGAUAUGAACCGUUAUAACCGGCGAUUUCCGAAUGGGGAAACCCAGUGUGAUUCGUCACACUAUCGUUAACUGAAUACAUAGGUUAACGAAGCGAACCGGGGGAACUGAAACAUCUAAGUACCCCGAGGAAAAGAAAUCAACCGAGAUUCCCCCAGUAGCGGCGAGCG
rnacentral:rRNA from 1 species